GCAUGGGUUUGGAUUUAUGGCAGGUCCAAUUCCAUGGGCCUCUCACAGUGUCCCAUGUCAAAGCAAAUUGUCACCCCGAACCAUUGCCUGGCUUUAUCCCAUGGGCUUCAGGCAGUGAAGCUGUUUGCACCGUG